UGCAAGUCGAGCGGGACCGACGGGAGUUGCUCCCUUAGGUCAGCGGCGGACGGGUGAGUAACACGUGGGUAACCUGCCUGUAAGACUGGGAUAACUCCGGGAAACCGGGGCUAAUACCGGAUGCUUGAUUGAACCGCAUGGUUCAAUCAUAAAAGGUGGCUUUUAGCUACCACUUGCAGAUGGACCCGCGGCGCAAUAGCUAGUUGGUGAGGUAACGGCUCACCAAGGCGACCAUUCGUAGCCCACCUGAGAGGGUGAUCGGCCACACUGGGACUGAAACACGGCCCAGACUCCUACGGGAGGCAGCAGUAGGGAAUCUUCCGCAAUGGACGAAAGUCUGACGGAACAACGCCCCGUGAGUGAUGAAGGUUUUCGGAUCGUAAAACUCUUUUGUUAGGGAAGAACAAGUACCGUUCGAAUAGGGCGGUACCUUGACGGUACCUAACCAGAAAGCCACGGCUAACUACGUGCCAACAC
rnacentral:rRNA from 1 species